CAGCAGCCGCGGGAAUACGGAGGGUGCAAGCGUUAUCCGGAUUUAUUGGGUUUAAAGGGUCCGUAGGCGGAUCUGUAAGUCAGUGGUGAAAUCUCACAGCUUAACUGUGAAACUGCCAUUGAUACUGCAGGUCUUGAGUAAAUUUGAAGUGGCUGGAAUAAGUAGUGUAGCGGUGAAAUGCAUAGAUAUUACUUAGAACACCAAUUGCGAAGGCAGGUCACUAAGAUUUAACUGACGCUGAUGGACGAAAGCGUGGGGAGCGAACAGGAUUAGAUACCCGUGUAGUCCCUGUCUCUUAUAC
rnacentral:rRNA from 1 species